GGUGGCCACUUGGUGCGAUCAUGUAUGAGAUACUCGUGGGAUAUCCACCAUUCUAUUCUGAUAAGCCUAUGUCAACCUAUAGAAAGGAUUUGAAAGGAAAAGUUGUAAUUUCUAAGAAGUCCAUUCGAGACAGGUAUUCAAAAUGAAGAAAAAGAUGAAGAAAGUGAUGAAGACAUUGACCUUACUUGAGAAGAUUUUUGGGUUGUUGAUAAAUGCUCUAAUAUCAAUAGUUUUGUGUUGAAUUUCUUGAAACUUAUCACGACUCGAACUUGCUACUAUAUAAAAACUUAAAUUACUAGCUUGUUGCAUAUUUUGGAUUAUGAGAUUAUUAAUGAAUGAUUUUGUUUUGUGAUGUAUAUAUAUUGUGUCAUAAUUUAUUAUGUAUGUAAAUAAAAAUUUACAUUAA